GAAACCAAUGCAACAAUGAUGGCUUCUGGAGCUCUCAUCUACAGAUGGUUCUAGGUGAUCACUGACCAUGACGACUCUCUACCUGAUGUAUAUGGUGCUUUUUUUGAUAUUUCCCUAUACUGCCAAAGGGUUGGAGGAAGCUGGAGACUUUUUUAAGUGUCAGUUGGGGGGUGGCCAAUGUUUCUCUCAUUGUCCAAGACAAUUUGAGCAACAUGGCUUCUGUACCAGUCCAUACAUGAAAUGCUGCAUACGUUAGCCAAAAGAAACAUGAAAGAACAGUGAAUCCAGACACUGUGGUAUAGAAGAAUGAGAGUAUUAAAUAGGGGACAAGUUGAAAUGCAUGGAAUAUGCUAUGCUUAUAUUAAUAAAGGAAAAUUCAUUUGGAAA